AAAAUCCCCUUGGAUUGUGACCCUAGAUGCUCUGGAGCCUUUUUGCUUGUGAUGCUCCCAAAUAGAAACCUCACCCAUUGACAUAUCUGACUGAA